rnacentral:rRNA from 1 species
GGGACACGUGGUAUCCUGUCUGAAUAUGGGGGGACCAUCCUCCAAGGCUAAAUACUCCUGACUGACCGAUAGUGAACCAGUACCGUGAGGGAAAGGCGAAAAGAACCCCGGCGAGGGGAGUGAAAAAGAACCUGAAACCGUGUACGUACAAGCAGUGGGAGCCUCUUUUAUGGGGUGACUGCGUACCUUUUGUAUAAUGGGUCAGCGACUUAUAUUCUGUAGCAAGGUUAACCGAAUAGGGGAGCCGAAGGGAAACCGAGUCUUAACUGGGCGUUAAGUUGCAGGGUAUAGACCCGAAACCCGGUGAUCUAGCCAUGGGCAGGUUGAAGGUUGGGUAACACUAACUGGAGGACCGAACCGACUAAUGUUGAAAAAUUAGCGGAUGACUUGUGGCUGGGGGUGAAAGGCCAAUCAAACCGGGAGAUAGCUGGUUCUCCCCGAAAGCUAUUUAGGUAGCGCCUCGUGAAUUCAUCUCCGGGGGUAGAGCACUGUUUCGGCAAGGGGGUCAUCCCGACUUACCAACCCGAUGCAAACUGCGAAUACCGGAGAAUGUUAUCACGGGAGACACACGGCGGGUGCUAACGUCCGUCGUGAAGAGGGAAACAACCCAGACCGCCAGCUAAGGUCCCAAAGUCAUGGUUAAGUGGGAAACGAUGUGGGAAGGCCCAGACAGCCAGGAUGUUGGCUUAGAAGCAGCCAUCAUUUAAAGAAAGCGUAAUAGCUCACUGGUCGAGUCGGCCUGCGCGGAAGAUGUAACGGGGCUAAACCAUGCACCGAAGCUGCGGCAGCGACACUAUGUGUUGUUGGGUAGGGGAGCGUUCUGUAAGCCUGUGAAGGUGUACUGUGAGGUAUGCUGGAGGUAUCAGAAGUGCGAAUGCUGACAUAAGUAACGAUAAAGCGGGUGAAAAGCCCGCUCGCCGGAAGACCAAGGGUUCCUGUCCAACGUUAAUCGGGGCAGGGUGAGUCGACCCCUAAGGCGAGGCCGAAAGGCGUAGUCGAUGGGAAACAGGUUAAUAUUCCUGUACUUGGUGUUACUGCGAAGGGGGGACGGAGAAGGCUAUGUUGGCCGGGCGACGGUUGUCCCGGUUUAAGCGUGUAGGCUGGUUUUCCAGGCAAAUCCGGAAAAUCAAGGCUGAGGCGUGAUGACGAGGCACUACGGUGCUGAAGCAACAAAUGCCCUGCUUCCAGGAAAAGCCUCUAAGCAUCAGGUAACAUCAAAUCGUACCCCAAACCGACACAGGUGGUCAGGUAGAGAAUACCAAGGCGCUUGAGAGAACUCGGGUGAAGGAACUAGGCAAAAUGGUGCCGUAACUUCGGGAGAAGGCACGCUGAUAUGUAGGUGAAGCGACUUGCUCGUGGAGCUGAAAUCAGUCGAAGAUACCAGCUGGCUGCAACUGUUUAUUAAAAACACAGCACUGUGCAAACACGAAAGUGGACGUAUACGGUGUGACGCCUGCCCGGUGCCGGAAGGUUAAUUGAUGGGGUCAGCGCAAGCGAAGCUCUUGAUCGAAGCCCCGGUAAACGGCGGCCGUAACUAUAACGGUCCUAAGGUAGCGAAAUUCCUUGUCGGGUAAGUUCCGACCUGCACGAAUGGCGUAAUGAUGGCCAGGCUGUCUCCACCCGAGACUCAGUGAAAUUGAACUCGCUGUGAAGAUGCAGUGUACCCGCGGCAAGACGGAAAGACCCCGUGAACCUUUACUAUAGCUUGACACUGAACAUUGAGCCUUGAUGUGUAGGAUAGGUGGGAGGCUUUGAAGUGUGGACGCCAGUCUGCAUGGAGCCGACCUUGAAAUACCACCCUUUAAUGUUUGAUGUUCUAACGUUGACCCGUGAUCCGGGUUGCGGACAGUGUCUGGUGGGUAGUUUGACUGGGGCGGUCUCCUCCUAAAGAGUAACGGAGGAGCACGAAGGUUGGCUAAUCCUGGUCGGACAUCAGGAGGUUAGUGCAAUGGCAUAAGCCAGCUUGACUGCGAGCGUGACGGCGCGAGCAGGUGCGAAAGCAGGUCAUAGUGAUCCGGUGGUUCUGAAUGGAAGGGCCAUCGCUCAACGGAUAAAAGGUACUCCGGGGAUAACAGGCUGAUACCGCCCAAGAGUUCAUAUCGACGGCGGUGUUUGGCACCUCGAUGUCGGCUCAUCACAUCCUGGGGCUGAAGUAGGUCCCAAGGGUAUGGCUGUUCGCCAUUUAAAGUGGUACGCGAGCUGGGUUUAGAACGUCGUGAGACAGUUCGGUCCCUAUCUGCCGUGGGCGCUGGAGAACUGAGGGGGGCUGCUCCUAGUACGAGAGGACCGGAGUGGACGCAUCACUGGUGUUCGGGUUGUCAUGCCAAUGGCACUGCCCGGUAGCUAAAUGCGGAAGAGAUAAGUGCUGAAAGCAUCUAAGCACGAAACUUGCCCCGAGAUGAGUUCUCCCUGAGACUUAAAGUCUCCUGAAGGAACGUUGAAGACGACGACGUUGAUAGGCCGGGUGUGUAAGCGCAGCGAUGCGUUGAGCUAACCGGUACUAAUGAACCGUGAGGCUUAACCUUACAACGCCGAAGCUGUU